rnacentral:misc_RNA from 1 species
AUGUUUGUUUGUGGUUGGGUCAUAACAUUUGUAACCAUUUUUGAAGACGAGAGUAUCAUAGAAAACACAUUUAAUAGAUUUUGGAUGAAGUUUGUCUUUUCCAAUGUUAAGAUCAUGAACAAAACAGAUGCAACCAAACACUUAAAUUGUGAGGAAAAAUAGCCUUAAAGUUUGAUCUCCCAUGAUAAAAUUAAAAAUCAUAUUGCUAUAUCACAUCUUACUCUAUGCUUAAAGUAUGAAUCUUAAUCUUAGAUAAUUUUGAAUAUACUUCAUUCUAAUAAAAGUUAAGGUUCUUUAGUCAUACGGUAUCUUCCUUAUCUUUAGCAUGUUGUUGAAUAAUUUAGUCAACCAAUCUAUUCCCACCUCCCUAGAG